AAAGACUGUGAAUGGCUUGCCAACCACAAGAGCAGUUUCUCCUCCCUUGGUGUUCACACCUCAGCUGCUAGAAGAAGGGCUCAUCCUCCCUGAUGGAACUAACUUCAUCAUCU